rnacentral:rRNA from 1 species
CAUCCUCCAAGGCUAAAUACUCCUGACUGACCGAUAGUGAACCAGUACCGUGAGGGAAAGGCGAAAAGAACCCCGGCGAGGGGAGUGAAAAAGAACCUGAAACCGUGUACGUACAAGCAGUGGGAGCACCUUUUGGGGUGUGACUGCGUACCUUUUGUAUAAUGGGUCAGCGACUUAUAUUCUGUAGCAAGGUUAACCGUAUAGGGGAGCCGCAGGGAAACCGAGUCUUAACCGGGCGUUAAGUUGCAGGGUAUAGACCCGAAACCCGGUGAUCUAGCCAUGGGCAGGUUGAAGGUUGGGUAACACUAACUGGAGGACCGAACCGACUAAUGUUGAAAAAUUAGCGGAUGACCUGUGGCUGGGGGUGAAAGGCCAAUCAAACCGGGAGAUAGCUGGUUCUCCCCGAAAGCUAUUUAGGUAGCGCCUCGUGAAUUCAUCUCCGGGGGUAGAGCACUGUUUCGGCUAGGGGGCCAUCCCGGCUUACCAACCCGAUGCAAACUGCGAAUACCGGAGAAUGUUAUCACGGGAGACACACGGCGGGUGCUAACGUCCGUCGUGAAGAGGGAAACAACCCAGACCGCCAGCUAAGGUCCCAAAGUCAUGGUUAAG